rnacentral:rRNA from 1 species
AUUGAACGCUGGCGGCAUGCCUUACACAUGCAAGUCGAACGGCAGCACGGGUGCUUGCCCCUGGUGGCGAGUGGCGAACGGGUGAGUAAUACAUCGGAACAUGUCCUGUAGUGGGGGAUAGCCCGGCGAAAGCCGGAUUAAUACCGCAUACGAUCUACGGAUGAAAGCGGGGGACCUUCGGGCCUCGCGCUAUAGGGUUGGCCGAUGGCUGAUUAGCUAGUUGGUGGGGUAAAGGCCUACCAAGGCGACGAUCAGUAGCUGGUCUGAGAGGACGACCAGCCACACUGGGACUGAGACACGGCCCAGACUCCUACGGGAGGCAGCAGUGGGGAAUUUUGGACAAUGGGCGAAAGCCUGAUCCAGCAAUGCCGCGUGUGUGAAGAAGGCCUUCGGGUUGUAAAGAACUUUUGUCCGGAAAGAAAUCCUUGGCCCUAAUACGGUCGGGGGGAUGACGGUACCGGAAGAAUAAGCACCGGCUAACUACGUG